AUGAAAUUCCCGGUUUUCCCAGGACUGGAGCAUUCUCCAUUCCCGGGAUGGAAUUCCCAGUUCUCCCAGGAUCAGAGCAAUCCCUGGGUGAAAUUCCUGGUUUUCCAGGACCAGAGCAUUCCCUGGAUGGAAUUCCCGGUUUUCCCAGGACUGGAGCGUUCCCCAUUCCCUGAAUGGAAUUCCUGGUUUUCCCGGGACUGGAGCAUUCCCUGGAUGGGAAUUCCCGGGUUUCCUGGGGCCGGAGCAUUCCCCGGGAUACAAUUGCUGGUUUUCCAGAACCAGAGCAUUCCCUGGAUAGAAUUCCUGGUUUUCCAGGACCAGAGCAUUCCCUGGAUGAAAUUCCCGGUUUUCCUGGGACCAGAGCAUUUCCUGGAUGAAAUUCUAAAUUCGGUUUUCCCGAAUGUCCCGGGAGUGGAGCAUUCCCCGGAUGAAAUUCCCGGUUUUCCCGGGAUUGGAGCAUUCCCUCUGUGGAAUUCCCAGUUUUCCUGGGUCCGGAGCAUUCCCCGUGUGGAAUUCCCGGUUCUUCCGGGAUCAGAGCACUCCUCGUGUGGAAUUCCCGGUUUCCCCGGGAUCAUUCCCAUUCCCAGGAUGGAAUUCCCGGUUUUCCCAGGACCAGAUCAUUCCCCGUGUGGAAUUCCCGGUUUCCCCGGGAUCAUUCCCAUUUCCCGUGUGGAAUUCCCGGUUUUCCCGGGAGCAUUUCCCGUGUGGAAUUGCCGGUUUUCCCGGGACCAUUCCCAUUCCCCGUGUGGAAUUCCCGGUAGCAUUCCCAUUUCCCGUGUGGCAUUCCCGGUUUUCCCGGGACCAUUUCCCGUGCGCCAUUCCCCGUUUUCCCGGGACCAUUCCCAUUCCCCGUGUGGAAUUCCCGGCAGCAUUCCCAUUCCCCGCGCGGCAUUCCCGGUUUUCCCGGGUCCAUUCCCAUUCCCUGCAUCCCCCUCUUGUCGUUCCAGGCGUUCCGGGGCUCCCGGGGCCGCGCGGCCUCACGGGCGAUGCCGGGUCCGGGGCCGCGGCGGGAGCUCCGGGCCCCGGGGGCGCCCUCGGGGAUUUGGGAGCGCCGGGAGCGCGCGGAGAGCGGGGCCCGAGGGUUCCCCGGCCCCAAGGGCGCCAAGGGCGGGCUGGGCCUGCCGGGAGCCCGCGGGGAACCGGAGACACCGGGCGGGAGCGGAGCCCCGGGAGCCGAGGGGGGAGCGGGAGCGCCCGGAGCCCGCGGGGAGCCCGGGAGCGCCGGGACAGCGGGGACAGCGGGGGAGCCCGGAGAGAGGGGAGCCCCGGGAACACCGGGACCAUGACAGGGACAGGGGACAGCGGGGACACCGGGACUCUGACCGGGACAGGGGACAGCGGGGCCACCGGGACCAUGACAGGGACGGGGACAAGGACGGGGACAGCGGGGAAGCCCGGAGAGAGGGGAGCCCCGGGGACACCGGGACUGCCCGGGACAAAGGGACCAUGACAGGGACAGGGGACAGCGGGGACACCGGGACUCUGACCGGGACAGGGGACAGCGGGGACACCGGUACCAUGACCGGGACGGGGACAAGGACGGGGACAGCGGGGGAGCCGGGAGAGAGGGGAGCCCCGGGGCCACCGGGACCGCCCGGGCCACCAGGGCCACCGGGACCGUGA
ensembl:lncRNA